UACGUAGGGUGCGAGCGUUAAUCGGAAUUACUGGGCGUAAAGCGUGCGCAGGCGGUUUUGUAAGCCAGAUGUGAAAUCCCCGGGCUCAACCUGGGAAUGGCAUUUGGGACUGCAAGGCUGGAGUGCGGCAGAGGAGACUGGAAUUCCCGGUGUAGCAGUGAAAUGCGUAGAUAUCGGGAGGAAUACCGAUGGCGAAGGCAGGUCUCUGGGCUGACACUGACGCUCAUGCACGAAAGCGUGGGGAGCAAACAGG
rnacentral:rRNA from 1 species